AUUGAUUGAUUGAUUAAGUGUGAGCUUAGGUAAAGGAAUUAGUGUGAGGCCAUAACUCAGUGAGUGUUAUGGUGUGUAUGUGUGGGAGUGUGUGCAUCCAACCUCACAUAUUCUCCAUUUCAGUCGGCGAACCAGACCAUUAUCAGACAUUCUGCCAUGAAUGUGACAUUUCAUAUUUUCCUCUGUUAUUUUGAUGAUGAUCUAUUAAAUUAACUCCGUUGUGUUACUGAGUGGUGCUCAAAAUUUGGGUUUAAAUCAUCAAGCUGGCUCUUGGCAUAUGAUUUUAUAUACUUCCACCAGAUUUCUCUCCUCAAAAUAUCUUUGCUCUAGAUUUGCCUGCAUCAAGUUUACUCUUUGUGCAGUAUUUAACAGUUUUUUGAUACUUUUUAUGACUUUCAGAUCUUUAUAAGGCUACUGUCAAGUAACUAGAUGCUCUGUGUGUGCACUGUGUAACUAAGGCUGCCCAGUUAUAGCUGUUUCAUUUUUCUGAACAGGCAUUUCUACUGAAUUAUUUGGUUGUUGUGUCUUUGAAGCCAGCGAACCAGCAGAUGACAGAUUUACAUGUUUCGGCAUUGUUGACAGUACUCCUGUAUUGGACGUUUCAUAAUUUUUGUGUGGAAGUGUCAUCUGAUAAAAUCUUAACUGCCUGUUUACCGAGGCCUAUUUCCAUAGUGACUUCUUGCCAAACAUCAGGGUCGAUUCAGCUCCUACCGGGAAAUUCGCGUGAGGUAUCCACAGAAAACAAUAAAUAGCCAAACCCCUUUUAGUGACAACACUUCAGGUCACUCUUUGCCUCCACCACAACCGGAAACUACUGUUUUAUCAUCGGCACCAUUUUCGGACUGUUCUCCUCGUAAUGCACGUCAUUUCAGACCUCCUGAUCGCUAUGGGGAAUGUUACGCAAUGUUAUGUGCAGAAGCAUUUUGAUAAGGUUUAACUUAUUUUAACAGGUUUUAAUAUGAACCCAGUCUCAUGAGAUAAUAUAAUAUUUUCUGUUUUGUUUCAGGUUCUAAUGGAUAUAAUUAUGAUCUAAUGAUGAUUUUUUUCAGUGUUCACAUUUGAUUUAUUUGAGCUUAUACAUUUAGUUUUCUAAACUUUAAUUGCUUUCAAGAGAGUAGGUUUCUUGUUUUUCAAUUAAGAAAUGCGCGCAUGCUUAUAUUAAACACAUAGUUUAGUAUGUGUAGGUUUUCUAUUUUGUUUAGGCAUUAUACAUUAUUAUACUUUUUCAUACAGUGUAAGGGAGGCAACUUGAAUAAUAUUUUAUCGUUGGGCUUGUGAUGAAAUGGAAUUACCUUAAAGUGUCAGUCUUAUUCAAUAUCAAUAUAUUCACAUACAUGUUAUGAUGUAUAACAAACAUCAAUUUUGACUGAUAAACCUUUAAAUACUUACUAAAUAAUGCAUUUAUGUAAAAUAUUUAUUACUGAUAGCAGUAUUCACUAUUGUAACCGUUUAUUUAAUAGCAGAAAGCGCAAAAAUAUAAAAUGAUUGGUGAAUGCUUCAAGAUUUACUGUGGUCAUGGAUAGUCUCAUAAGGUAGAAAUAGCUUGUUUUUUGCUCAAUUCUUUCCAACUCGGUAUCCUUCAAAAGAACCAAUGUUUUCGACAUUUAUUCAUCCUUUUUGGAAUAUUAAAACAAUAUCAUUAAUCGUGGUAAGUCUUAUUUGGGAGUAAGAGUGCAUCUUUAAAUUAAUGUUGUUUUAUUAUUAGUAUUGAGUAAUUUGUUUCUGGUAUUACAAUUUUUAAAUUCAAGGACCUUGACCUUUGUCUCCGAAAUUCAAGGACGAAUUUCGAAAAUGGAGGGGGAUUGUGUAACCAGGAAUUCAAUGUUUAUAUAGCGGCACUUAUACUAUCUCGAUAUAGAGCUAGCUGUUAUAGCAACGCGGUAGAAUGUUCGCUUGCAGAGCGAGAGGUCGUUAGUUUGUACCCUGACAGGUGCACAUAGCAAUUUGUGCAGUCUGUUACAUAUGCACUUCCUAUAAGUCCAUACUUGUUUUUAGCGAAACUCACAGUAUUUGCAUAAAAAUUCAAGUUAAGAUCCCAGACCAAACAUUGUCUCCUUUAGAAUACUUAAAUUCAGAUGUUCUAUAAGCUACAUACAUUUACACUUCUUAUUGUGGAUAAGAAAUUUAUCCAGUUGAUUAUAAAUGCAGUUUCCCAGAAUUACACCCUUCUUUUGCAGAAACUGCCGAUGGCGUAAAUCCAGUGCUGUGGGUCAGUUUUCCAGCCGUGUGGAAUUGACAUCUCCAGCCAAACUAGAGCCAGGAUUAAUAUCAUACUCAUUAACAGCAAGGGCAAAGUGGUGCUGCAUUCGUUUCCUGAGCUAUCAGCAUGAUUGCUUUAACAUGUUGAAUGACGUUUCCUUCGUCUGUCUGAUAAUCCCAGAAGCCUUGCGCCAGUGCUUGACAGACCAGCUGAAGGACAGACCAUUUGUCAACUGUCUCAAGAAUGAUAACUUCACGAAGCGCUGACUAGUGCAGCCCCAGCAAAAAAUAGAAAACCCGGGCGUGCCUGACCCAUGAAACCCUGGCAUCAACAGUGAGGGGGAGAGUGAAAUGGGAAGGGGUGUUUAUGGGAAUUGUGGGGUAUGGCUGGGAGGGGGAUAGGAGAGGUUAUUGGGGAGUGUCCAAGGAUAUGUAGGGGAAGAGGGGGGGGAAUUGGGUGAUAACUUAAAGGGUAGGCCUAAAACUUGACGCCCUUGCAUGCCACUGCACACAGUGAUAAGGAAAAUGAAAGCAUGAGGGGGGUUAAGAGCAAGUAUAGGGGGAUGGAAGGGUGUGGGAGAUAUAUGUGGGAGGAUAUUGCGGUGCUGCACCAUUAGUGAGGGGAAAUCUGCUCAAGGUAUAGGGUGUGUUGUGGAAGGAUGAAUAGUUGUUUGAAUAGUGAGGGUGUGUCUCACUCGUGAAUCAGGGCUUGUGUCUGCAUCAACACUAAAAAUGGAAAAAAAACUGGUAUGGGAGAUGUUUUUAUAGGAUAAUAAUCACAUCCUUGCUGUAUGGCAAGGGAGAGAAAUACUGCUAGAUUUAAGAAAGUAUUAAAUACAUUAAUUCCCACCUCAGAGCACCCUCUUAAAUGAACAUUACACAAACAAUGUAGGAAAAUGUAAAUGAAUUAAACGAAUUCUUAUAAAAUGAUCUUUGGUUGACAUUCUAUGUCAAAACAAUUGGCUUCUGUUGUAAAUUCUUUAGUACUGCAAGUGAUGUAAUAAAGUUUUGUUUUUGUAUGUUUUAUAUGGUAUGAACAUUGACAAUAAGACAUUGAAUUGCUGUAAUCUAUUUUUUGUCAAUAAAAUUUUAAUGUCUA